AAGUCGUAUCAAGGUCUCCGUUGGUGAACCAGCGGAGGGAUCAUUACAGAGUUUAUCUUAACUCCCAAACCCCAUGUGAACAUACCAUACGUUGCCUCGGCAGGUCGCGUCGUACCCGGGAGGGUCCUACCCCGUAGGACCUACCCGGUGCGCGCGGUCAACGCCUGCCGGCGGCCCAUGAAACUCUGUUUACCAUUGGACUUCUGAACACAUAACUAAAUAAGUUAAAA
rnacentral:misc_RNA from 1 species